CAGUGAUUCCCUUAGUAACGGCGAGCGAACAGGGAAGAGCCCAGCGCCGAACCGCCGAUCGUGCAGGUCGCGCGGAAUGUGGCGUUACGGAGCAAGCCUUCCCCCGUGGACGGCGGCGACAAGUCUCCCUGACAGGAGCUCCUGCCCAGAGCGGGUGCGAGGCCCAUAGUCGCCGUGCGUCACUCGGGUGGCGAACUCCGAAGAGUCGGGCUGCUUGAGAGUGCAGUCCUAAGCGGGAGGUAAACUCCUCCUAAGGCUAAAUACGGCCGCGAGACCGAUAGCGAACAAGUACCGUGAGGGAAAGUUGCAAAGAACUUUGAAGAGAGAGUUCAAGAGUACGUGAAACUGCUCGGAAGGAAACGGGUGGAUCUUCGAAGUCCGAGCGGAGCGGGAUUCAGUGGCGGGCGGCGAGGGGUGUUUGAACUUCGUACUCCCUCGCGGGGACGAGGGGCUAGCACCGUUCUCCCGUCAGCCGCGCACUUCUCGCUCCCGGUGGACGCCGCAGCCGGUCUGGCGUCGGCAGUGAGGACUGGCCGGGCGAUGGCGUGGGCGUCGAUCUCGCAUCGGCGUCCCGAUUCUGUACCGGUCGUGUUCCCGGUGCGACGCCGGUCCGAGGGAAAGAGUCCGGACUAGUUCCGGACGUGCCGCGGUCUCGCCAUGAGAAUGGCAGAGCGGGAGAGUGGUCCGGUCCUACCGGCCGUGUCGCCCACCACGAGCGUGAGCGACCGGAAAAAGGUGAGCCGUAAGAUCGCGACCUAUCCCGCUAAGGCGAACCGAGGGCUUGCGGCGAGUAGGUCGGUAUUCCACCCGACCCGUCUUGAAACACGGACCAAGGAGUCUAACUUGUGCGCGAGUCAGUGGGACUCGAUUAAGCCCACGGGCGCAAUGAGAGUGAAUUUUUGUGUCGUGAUCCCGCGCUUCGGCGUGGGCGCAGCGACGGCCCGACUAUAAAGUUGUCCAGCGAUGCUGGCGCCGGUCGGAGCCCGAGCGUACAGGUUGGUACCCGAAAGAUGGUGAACUAUGCCCGGGCAGGUUGAAGCUAGAGGAAACUCUGGUGGAGGACCGCAGCGGUCUGACGUGCAAAUCGAU
rnacentral:rRNA from 1 species